rnacentral:tRNA from 1 species
AUUAAUUUAGUAUAAAUUAGUAUAGAUUACUGUUAAUAAUCGGGUAUCCUUUAUAAGGGUAAUUAAUG